UUUUUUUUUUUUUUUUUUUUUUUUUUUUUUUUUUUUUUUUUUUUUUAAUGUAAAGAUUUCUGGGCCCACCCCACCGAGGUAAUCAGAAGAAGGACCUGGGAAUCUGGGGGUCACCCUGUGUCUUUAAUUACUGCUCAGCUGGUUUGUUACUGACUCUGUGACCUUGAUUGUGUUACUUAAUCUGUUUGAGCCUCAGGUUUUAUCUGUGAAGUGGGGAUAAUAUCCAAAUCAUAGAUUUAUUGACAAACUUCUACAUGACUAAACUUGUUCAGCACAUGACUAGUGCUCAAUACUUGGAAGGUAUAUUGCCCACAAAUGUGUGAUCUGUACACUCAAGCUGACUGAUGUGUUUUCUUAUAAGGACCUGUCCCUACCCCCAACGUUUUGGUGAAGCAGCCGGACUGUCAUGGGAUAUGUAUGUGUAUGCACAUUUUAGCUCAUGCAUAGUUGUCACCUUUAUAUGAUUUCCCCUCCUCCGCCUUUUAGGCCAUAAAAUAGAUUAGAAUUGGCACAUUUGGAAGCUAGGCCCUGUGCUCUUGGACCUAGAACUGUCCAUCAGGCCUACUGGCAAAGCGGGGCAUUUACCAAUCUGAAGUCUGCUUCAUCCUCCACCCCACCCCCACCUUUUUUGGCUCUUUCACCUUCCUUGCUUUAUAGAUGGCAAACAUUUCCUAAAGAAACCGCUGGUCAGACCAAUGAAGCCACAGGACAAAAAGUUAUCUUCGAAAGGGAACGACAAGAAGGAAGAAAAAGUCAGCAUUCCUAGAGAGAACCAUUCUCUGCUUUCAAUAGGACAGAAGAGCUCCUUGGCACUGGAUGCCUCCGGGUCUGGUUGAGAGAGGAAUUGGUUAGGAGACUGUUCUGAGGAUACGCAGACAUCAUCCAAAGCUUCCUACAUUCAGAUGAGGACAGAGGUUGGGCCAGAGCAUGGCAUGCUUGUUACCUAAGGACGGUUUUGACCAUGUGAGCAAAUCACAGAAGUUCCUGAGCCAAUACUUGUCAAACCUGGUACUGUAUCAAGAUCCUCAUGACCUGUACCAAAUGCAGUCUGGAAGUGUGGUUGGCUGCUCAAAUCAGGAGUCAAGUGUUCAUAUACAAACCCCUGCACAAACCCUCCCCUACCACUCCAGUUCUCCCACAGAGUCUGGAGUACAGUCAGCACUGAGUUUUUUUAUUUGGGGCCCAGAUUUUCUUCCCGGACCUUGUUAUUCCCUCUCCC
rnacentral:lncRNA from 1 species